CGCUGGCGGCGUGCCUAACACAUGCAAGUCGAACGAGGUCCAUCCUUCGGGAGAAGACCUAGUGGCGAACGGGUGAGUAACACGUGAGGAACCUGCCCCGAAGACCGGGAUAACCCUCCGAAAGGAGAGCUAAUACCGGAUACCCCCACCGAACCGCAUGGUUUGGUGAGGAAAUGGAUUCCGCUUCGGGAGGGCCUCGCGGCCUAUCAGCUAGUUGUGGGGUAACGGCCCACCAAGGCAUCGACGGGUAGCUGGUCUGAGAGGACGAUCAGCCACACUGGGACUGAGACACGGCCCAGACUCCUACGGGAGGCAGCAGUGGGGAAUCUUGCGCAAUGGGCGAAAGCCUGACGCAGCAACGCCGCGUGGGGAUGAAGGCUCUCGGGUUGUAAACCCCUUUCAGCAGGGACGAAUCAAGACGGUACCUGCAGAAGAAGCCCCGGCUAACUACGUG
rnacentral:rRNA from 1 species